GGAUGGGUUGGCAGUCAUUCAACAAGCAAACAAUAGCCAUGAGGCCUAAAGGCACUCAACCAAUAAUGCAUGCUGCAUCCACGAGCACUCAAGGCACCAAUGGUCUCUUACUUUGGAAGAUGGGCGAAAAUCCGUGCAAUCAUCCAAAAGGCCAUAGGAGCAACCAUGCACCCACUCCUAUACCGCACAAAACGGAGGGAGGGGGGGAGAGAGUAUAGCACCGAGUCAUAUUUCUCUUUUGAAAGACUAGUAAAUAGCACAGGCAAAUUUUGUGGCGCCAACAGCAACAAUGGACCAUAUAAUGAAGAAUUGCACUAAUUUCGGUUGGGUGCACAAGGCACAGAGCCCGCCAUUAUAUGCAACUAUUAAACAACAACUUNUGUGCCGACGCGGUGGUUCCAUGUUCAUUGCCUUAUCGCCCGCAUGCGUGCCCGUC
rnacentral:misc_RNA from 1 species